CUGAACCUUCUCAUCAACAAACUGCAAAAUUACAGAUAAAAUUUCAGGUUUUUGCAGUGCAUUUUGUAAGGAAAGCAUUCUGGAUAUGGGAGAAUAAAAAGAUUAUCAAAAAGAUAAUACAUAGUAGCAUUUGGAUUUAUUUACUUUUAAGAUGUUAAAGCUGAAAACAGGCAUCUGGCUCCUUAACUAAAGCCUCAGUAAGUGAUUAUUCAUCACUGGUUGGUAAAAUUUUUCAGCCUUCCAUGAGGUUCUGGAUGAUUUACCAAGAGUUGGUCUCGUGGCACAGUCCACCAUGGUGAAUGCAUAAGCUCCAAAUCUCCCAUGCUGAAACCCCAAACCCCAUUUCCCCCUAACCAAAAUGAAAAAAAUGGAGAAACCCCUCAAAGCAAUAUGCAGUCCUUAGAAAUUCACUAUUUUAGUAGAUUAUUAACAACAUUGAAGUACCUGCAUCUGACAUCUUCAAAUUUUUGCUGGGCAAUCCAAAAUAAUAGGAAAUUUUCAGAAUACAGAUGAGUCCAAUACUUAAAACACAUACCCACACAAGAAACCAGAAUAAUUGUGUCCAUGCAACGCAAGUAGUAGAUAGUUUAUAAAGACGAUGUAUGAAAAAGAUGGCUAUUAUCACAUACAAUAUAUUGAUAUGCUCAGUUACCUGUUUCAAAAACAGAGCUGCUGU
rnacentral:misc_RNA from 1 species